AAUGGCUCCGUUCUGCAGCGUAUUUGAUUUUAUGACACAGAUUCGUUUUAAAGUGGAGUUUUAAUUUCUACUGUAAGAAUUGUUGUGCCGGCAGUUCUGAAAGUCACUGCUAGUUAAAGUCCAGUCGGAGAGUGAAGAAUUAUCGAAGUUCGGGAAGCUGAAGGAUCGAGAAAAGUUGGUGUUGUUGGCGGUGAAACAGGUUCGAUUUGAUCCUCAUUCGGAAGGAAUUAGUAACUUGCAAUCCAAAAUAGUCCCUGCUAAAGAGCAGAAAGGACUGGAGCAAGGAAAGAUCAAUGCCUUUAAGUCGUUUUAUUUCCUUCGCCGUAAAUCCUUCGGGCAAGGAUGAGCAGUAACGUUGUGACGUCGAGGAAAUUAUUACUUCAAGGAGCCCUUCACCCACCGUUUCCGGAAGUAGCAGCUUCUCACGACUUGUCGUGCGCUGGAUCACAAUUCGUGCAACCACCACCUCUGGAAGAGCGAUGGUCAGAGACUGAAUUACACUGUCAACCUUCCAAUGUGCAGUUGGAUCAAAUGUUGACCCCGGUUUAAAAACUAAAGUACCGUUCCUGGUAAAGUAUGCCUUCGGACCACUGCCACAAGAGACGGAUCAAGAUUCAACCAACCAGAAUGAACCCCCCAGACUGCAAACUGGAGACUUCAUGCUAAUCAAGGACUGGGAUCACCCCAAGCUCAAACCAAGGUCAUUCCAGAUAUUCCUUCAGACGCCAAAUGGAGUCAAAGUCCGAGGACAGAAUCGCUGAAUCCAUCUGAGUGACUACAAACGAUGGGCCCCACAAGUAACUUAAAGACUGUUAUUGGACUUUCUGUUAUUAUGGCCACCUUAAUUGUAUCCGGACUUGAGGACAAUUUGUUUUGUAAAACUCAUAUACAUUUCCAUGGUAAUCGAACUGUGUGUUACCCGCUUGCCCAGUCAGUAGAGGCAUUAUUUGUAGCCAACCCUGUGUGGGACCCCACCCUCCGACCUUUAUACCACAGAUACUUCAGAGCGUGGGUCUGAGUGAAAAUGUCAGGACAGGUAGGAGAGCUGAUAAAAGAUAGGUCUCAGUUCCCCAACUGCACAGGAACCCAGGGAGAAAUCGUAGGAUUUGCUCUGAUCCCAUGAGCUAUCUACUUUGUUUCUCAGGAUGGGGAUAGGGAUGCGCCAACACUUUGAUCCCCACAAAUGCCUCUUGUGCCCAAAGACAAUGUGCCUGCAGACAUUGCCGGGUGAGCAAUGGAAUAUUCUUCUGCACCUGUGAUGAGGAAAGGUGUUUAAACGUUACUGCAUGAAGACAGCUCAUUUGUGGGCGCUGCAACGGAACUCACGUCAGCUCUGACUCCUGGUCAUAGCCUUUUACCGACUACCAACUCAAGGGUUCGGAGUCGGGAGGUAACUCCAGCCUGGAAAGAAACUGGAAAUCUAAGCAGUUUGCGAGUUUCAAUGACAUGCUAGAAUCUGUCCUGAUGACAUGCAGGAGUUUAGAUACUGAUCGCACAAUUUGUUCUUGGGUGGAUGACCUUUGCUUCUGCUUUAGGUGUUUCAGUAUUCUCUGUCUCGUACCAUCACUGUUGCCAGGCAUGUGGCUAUGGGGGUGGCUGAAAAUUGUAUCUUGCAUACAUGACUGACUGUGGUGUAAAACUCUAUAAAAAGGGAGGACUGUUCCCUUGUUCGUACAGCAUCACUUGACAGAGCUCCGCAAGCACUGCGAAGUUUGUUAAGCAAUCCUCCAAAA